CGAUGCGACGCCGCGUGGAGGAUGAAGGCCUUAGGGUUGUAAACUCCUGUCAAGAGGGAAUAAGCAAGUGAAGGUACCUCUAGAGGAAGGGGCGGCUAAUUCCGUGCCAGCAGCCGCGGUAACACGGAAGCCCCGAGCGUUGUUCGGAUUCAUUGGGCGUAAAGGGUGCGUAGGCGGCGCGGAAAGUCCGGCGUGAAAGGCAGGGGCUCAACCUCUGGACUGCGUUGGAUACUUCCGUGCUUGAGGACUGGAGGGGAGACUGGAAUUCACGGUGUAGCAGUGAAAUGCGUAGAUAUCGUGAGGAGGACCGGUGGCGAAGGCGAGUCUCUGGACAGAUCCUGACGCUGAGGCACGAAGGCUGGGGGAGCGAACAGGAUUAGAUACCCUGGUAGUCCCAGCAGUAAACGAUGUGAGCUUGAUGUGGGGGGAUUCGACCCCUUCCGUGUCGAAGCUAACGCGAUAAGCUCACCGCCUGAGGAGUACGGCCGCAAGGCUAAAACUCAAAGAAAUUGACGGUGACCCGCACAAGCGGUGGAGUAUGUGGCUUAAUUCGAUGCAACGCGAAGAACCUUACCUGGCCUUGACAUGCAUUGUGUCGUCGGUGAAAGCCGGCUAGUCCUGGAAACAGGACGCUUUGCACAGGUGCUGCAUGGCUGUCGUCAGCUCGUGUCGUGAGAUGUUGGGUUAAGUCCCGCAACGAGCGCAACCCUUGUGGUCAGUUACUAACCGGCUUAGCCGGAGGACUCUGGCCAGACUGCCCUGUCAAACGGGGAGGAAGGUGGGGACGACGUCAAGUCAGUAUGGCCCUUAUGGCCAGGGCUGCACACGUACUACAAUGCCCGGUACAAUGUGAACCGAAACCGCGAGGUGGAGGAAAUCGCUCUUGAAAACCGGGCCCAGUUCGGAUUGGAGUCUGCAACUCGACUCCAUGAAGUCGGAAUCGCUA
rnacentral:rRNA from 1 species